rnacentral:lncRNA from 1 species
AGGUACGCAUUUCACGAACACCAGCGGUCUGAUUCACCGCAAGUGGGUGUUCUUUUCCGGAAAAGUGGUUCGAUUGCCAACCCGUGAGCCCAGGGGCUUUAUUGCGAGGGUAUAUGCUUCUGACCCAGGGGCUUCAUUGCGAGGGUCAGGUACAGGUUGAGCAGUGUGGCAUGGGCCUGAGGUCUUCGGACCAAUAGGGCAGCGAGAUUGGGUACUUUUGAGGUUAUCGUCAGUUGACGCAUAUGUCUAUAGUAGCAGUCGUUGCAUGCAUAUUUACAGUUCUUACUUUAUAGUUGUCUUGCUACUAUAGUAGAUAUUCAUGUAUGCUUUCGAUUUCAGUUACAGUAGCGGUAGCCGUUAUUCAGUCUAGUUCUUACUUUCUUUCAGUUUAUUGCUACUGUAUUCGGUAUAUCUGCUCAUUACCUUACAUACCUCUUUCGUUUAUUAUUGUUGCUACUAUAUUUCCACCGAUCCGUGUUGUUGUAUAGCUCUUCCUGAUCCGGUGAGUACUCCUCGCCUUCUUCGGCUUGCGGUACCCACUGGGAGGGGAAACAUGUUUACAUGUUCUCACCUCCCCCACUAUUUUUCAGGUAUCGCGGGCGGUGAGGGUUGAGACGAGACGUGAGAUACGUAGCGGUCGAUAGAGCUUCCGACUCAGGUUAUUUCGGUUUAGUUAUUACCCCUAUUAUUUCUGUUGAUGUAUAGUUUAGUUGGUUUAUGUGGUUCAGUAUUUCAUUAUGUUAAAAUAAAAAGAUUUCUAGAUUUUGUAAAAUAAAAGGUUUUCUACCCCUCGUGGUAGCGUUUUUAAAAGUUAAAAGUUCCCGUGUAGGGAACAGUUUUUCAAAAGAUUUUCUGUGGAUUUUGUAUCUUAGUAUUUCAAAACCUGUUUCUGAGUUGGAAACAUUUUAACUGAUAGAUGCGGAUGUAUGAAUAUAUAAAUGUGAACCUGUGAUGUGAAUGGUGUAUGAAUAUAUAAUUGUUGGUUAUUUGUAUAUUCAUUUGGUUGUGGUUGUACCUGGGUUACUUCUUGUACUUGUGCGACGCCGUGCAAAUACAGGGGAGACUCUGUCCGUGUGCACAGUGGAUUCCCUGUAUUUGUGGCGGAUCUGGCAUACUCUGGGGUCAGGUUUUCAAAAAAAAAAAAAAAUCCAGACGCUUUUCCGCUAUCUUUU